GGGUUGUGAGGUUAAGCGACUAAGCGUACACGGUGGAUGCCCUGGCAGUCAGAGGCGAUGAAGGACGUGCUAAUCUGCGAAAAGCGUCGGUAAGGUGAUAUGAACCGUUAUAACCGGCGAUGUCCGAAUGGGGAAACCCAGUGUGAUUCGUCACACUAUCGUUAACUGAAUACAUAGGUUAACGAGGCGAACCGGGGGAACUGAAACAUCUAAGUACCCCGAGGAAAAGAAAUCAACCGAGAUUCCCCCAGUAGCGGCGAGCGAACGGGG
rnacentral:rRNA from 1 species